UCAGAGCGAACGCUGGCGGCAGGCUUAACACAUGCAAGUCGAACGGGCUUCUUCGGAAGUCAGUGGCAGACGGGUGAGUAACACGUGGGAACGUGCCCUUCGGUUCGGAAUAACUCAGGGAAACUUGAGCUAAUACCGGAUACGCCCUUAUGGGGAAAGGUUUACUGCCGAAGGAUCGGCCCGCGUCUGAUUAGCUUGUUGGUGGGGUAACGGCCUACCAAGGCGACGAUCAGUAGCUGGUCUGAGAGGAUGAUCAGCCACACUGGGACUGAGACACGGCCCAGACUCCUACGGGAGGCAGCAGAAGGGCGAAUU
rnacentral:rRNA from 1 species